UACGUAGGGUGCAAGCGUUAUCCGGAAUUAUUGGGCGUAAAGAGCUCGUAGGCGGUUUGUCGCGUCUGCUGUGAAAACCCGAGGCUCAACCUCGGGCCUGCAGUGGGUACGGGCAGACUAGAGUGCGGUAGGGGAGAUUGGAAUUCCUGGUGUAGCGGUGGAAUGCGCAGAUAUCAGGAGGAACACCGAUGGCGAAGGCAGAUCUCUGGGCCGUUACUGACGCUGAGACGCGAAAGCGUGGGGAGCAAACAGG
rnacentral:rRNA from 1 species